rnacentral:rRNA from 1 species
CACCGCGGUUACACGAAAGGCCCAAGUUGAUAGAUACCGGCGUAAAGGGUGGUUAAUAGAAAAACUUAUACUAAGGCCGAACACCUUUUUAAAGCUGUCGCACGCACCUGAAGGCAGGAAGAUCGCCCACGAAAGUGGCCUUAACAGCUAUGACUCCACGAAAGCUAGGGCA